rnacentral:rRNA from 1 species
GGGACUAGUCCUGCAGGUUUAAACGAAUUCGCCCUUAGAGUUUGAUCAUGGCUCAGAACGAACGCUGGCGGCGUGGAUUAGGCAUGCAAGUCGAGCGAUCCUUCGGGAUAGCGGCAAAAGGGUGAGUAACGCGUGGGUAAUCUACCCUCAAGUUAAGGAUAACACCGAGAAAUUGGUGCUAAUACUUUAUGUGACCACAAGCACACAAGUGCAUGAGGUAAAAGGUGGGGAUCUUCGGACCUACCACUUAAGGAGGAACCCGCGUCCUAUUAGCUAGUUGGUGAGGUAACGGCUCACCAAGGCGAAGAUGGGUAGCUGGUCUGAGAGGAUGGUCAGCCACACUGGGACUGAGACACUGCCCAGACUCCUACGGGAGGCUGCAGUCGAGAAUCUUUUGCAAUGGGGGAAACCCUGACAAUGCGACGCCGCGUGAGCGAUGAAGGCCUUCGGGUCGUAAAGCUCUGUUUAUUGGGAAGAAAGACUUUGAUCGAAUAGGUCAAAGGGAUGACGGUACCAGUAGAGGAAGUCACGGCUAACUCCGUGCCAGCAGCCGCGGUAAUACGGAGGUGGCAAGCGUUGUUCGGAUUUAUUGGGUGUAAAGGGUAUGUAGGUGGUUAAGUAAGUCGAGCGUGAAAUCCAUUGGCUCAACCAAUGAACUGCACUCGAAACUGCAUAACUUGAGUUCAGGAGAGGAAAGCGGAAUUCCCGGUGUAAGAGUGAAAUCUGUAGAGAUCGGGAGGAACACCAGUGGCGAAGGCGGCUUUCUGGACUGAUACUGACACUGAAAUACGAAAGCUAGGGGAGCAAACAGGAUUAGAUACCCUGGUAGUCCUAGCCGUAAACGAUGGGCACUAGGUGUCGGAGCGCGAGCUUCGGUGCCGCAGUUAACACAUUAAGUGCCCCACCUGGGGAGUACGGCCGCAAGGCUGAAACUCAAAGGAAUUGACGGGGGCCCGCACAAGAGGUGGUGCAUGUGGUUUAAUUCGACGCUACGCGAAGAACCUUACCAAGGCUUGACAUGUAAGAAGUACGAACCUGAAAGGGAGAGGACCUGUCAAAUCAGGAACUUACACAGGUGUUGCAUGGCUGUCGUCAGCUCGUGCCGUGAGGUGUUGGGUUAAGUCCCGCAACGAGCGCAACCCCUAUCUUUAGUUGCUACGUUUAGUUACUUUUGUAACUUAACGGCACUCUAAAGAGACUGCCAGUGAUAAACUGGAGGAAGGUGGGGAUGACGUCAAGUCAGUACGGCCCUUAUGCCUUGGGCUACACACGUGCAACAAUGGCCAGUACAAAGGGUUAUGCCAAACCGUGAGGUGGAGCUAAUCCCAAAAAACUGGUCCCAGUUCGGAUUGAAGGCUGCAAUUCGCCUUCAUGAAGUAGGAAUCUCUAGUAACGGUAGGUCAGCCAUNNUACCGNGAAUACGUUCCCGGGCCUUGUACACACCGCCCGUCAAGCGAUGGAANCUGGGGGUACCNGAANUCCUGUUAAAGNCCGAAGGUAAANNUGGUGACNGNNGCNAAGUCGUAACAAGGUAAAGGGCGAAUUCGCGGCCGCUAAA